ACCGAUAACACCACCACGUAGCGAUAACGUAGCGAGGAUAUGGUUACAGAGCAUGCUCUUAUAUGAUAUGAUAAUGUAAUAAAAUGUGGCUUGAUAAUUUAGGCAAGCUAUUAUACCAUGAAUAUAAAUUUGCUUGACUUCAAAAAAAUAAGAAAAUAUAUAUUUAUGGAAAUUUUUCAAAAACUUUAUCCAUUCAAGAAAUUGGUGGAAAAACAUAUAUCAAUUAAAAAACUGAUUAUUCUUAUUUUUAGUAUUUUAAUCUUUCUUCUCUAUGUUUGGCCUUUAUUUCAACAUAAGCAAAAAUACAAAUCAAAUAUCUGUCUUAAUUGUUUGAAUGAUCAUUUAUUUUUGUAUCAUAAUACUCCCUAUAUGAAUACAAUAAUUCAAUUUAUGCACCUGGAUGAUUAUAAUUUUACACCUUUUUUAGGUAAUGGCUAUAUUGGAAUAUUUUUGAAUGAUCCAAAUUCCAAAAUUCAUAUAAGACAAAAUAAUUUUCUAUCAAUUGCCAUUGACUUUGAGCCAAUUAUUAAUAUAAAAUUAAAUGGUAUAUUCUUUCAAGAGGCAUAUGUAACCUCAUUUUUAGAUGGAAUUGUCCGAAAUUUAAAAUGUAUAAAAUACAAUUCAGAAUGUGUCUUUUUUGAAAAAACUUUUAUAGUUCAUAGAAAUAUUCCUUCAUUAUUGAUACAAAAAUUUACCAUCAAUAACCCUUCAGAUUUAUCACUGGAGUUCGAUGUAGAAUCCAAAAAAGUUGAGAGUAUAUUUCAACAAACAAAAAUUGAUUUUCAAGAUCAAAACCUGAUUCCAAAAACUCAAUCGAUAUUUGAUCCAGAUUUGUUCGAAAUAUUUUAUGGAAAAACGAUAAGCACCAAAAUUAGCCAUGAAUUUGGUUACAAACGAAAUUCUCCAUUUUUUCGAUUUUUUGCUCCUUCAGACCUUUUUCUUCACGCCAAUAUCUUAAUUCUUAAACCCAAAACGAUUAAAGUUGCUGCUAGAAGUAAAACCGAAGCUUAUAUUUACAUUUUUAUGCGAUAUUCGUUAAAACUAAACGCUUCCAAUAAAGAUGAUAAUAAUUCAAUAAAUUUACAGUUAGAUGAAUUAAUCAAGAAUGACGUUAAAAUUGCAUUUAGUGAAAAUUCUGAAAAGAUUAUCAAUGAACAUAUAUUGUCAUGGAAUAACAUAUGGAAAAGUGGGUUUGCUAUAAGCCAAUCAAAAUCAGCAUUAGCUCUAAAUGGUGAUAAAAUUAACUCGACCUUUUAUCAUUAUUUAUGUCAUCAACCCUCAAACUCUGACAAAAAUCAAGAACUUGCGCUUUCAUUAACAUCAACUGGCACACAAUCUUUUUUCAAAGAUAAUUGUUACAGCUCCCAUACAACUUUAUUAUCAUCAACCUUAUGGUCCGAAAUGAAAUCAAGGAAUAAUAUCCUAAAAACGUUAUACUUAUGGGAUUUGACUCUUGAUAAAAACGGGUGUUAUAAAUUAAUUCAAUCGGGGAUAAGCGGGGCACUUCAAGCUUUAAUUUAUAGUGUCGGAAGCUUUAAAAUUACUGCUAAUCACUUGGAAUUUUCGAUGGACCCCAAAGAAUUGCAUAGGGAUAUGGUCUUUAGAUAUAUUAAUUACACUCCACCCUCUUUAAAAUCCCAAAUCAUCGUCGGGCUCAUCCAAUAAAUCCCGCAAUUCCUCAUCUGAAAACACCAAAUCCAGCCAUUCCUCCAAUUCCUCACCUAUGGAUAGUGGGGGCGUCGAUUCCCCGGUUCCCUCAAUAUUGUUAGCGUUUGAAUCCAGGAUCUCUUCACGUCCCACGGGCGUAUCAUUAUUCCAAUUGUUCUCCCCUAGGCUAGCUCCCUCCCCUUCCGUAGUCGCUGAAAGAUCGACUAGAGGCCAUCGGCCGGCUUCCCUUGGUAUUGAAGUGGAUGAUGGAGAUGUGGAUCUUCCAUCGUAAUAAACGGAUCUCACUUCCGCCACUGGUCGGACUGCCGAGACAAACCUUAUGGGCGAUCUUUCCCUGGAUCGAUUAUUUGUCAUAGGGUUCUCCCAUCGGAGAGGACAUCGGCUCCGUACAUGUCCCCGCGCGCGGCAUUGGAAACAGACCCUAUUGUCAUAACCACUGGGUGACAUCGGUUGAAAGGGGACCCUGGGUAUUGGGAGCUCGUUCCUCGCUCUUCUUGGAAUAAUACUAAGUCUCACCUCGAUCCCACCAAAAAACCAAGAUUUAUGCAUGGCCAUUCAGCAGACUGAUUACUUUGUCAAAAUCAAACUCCUAUACAAUUUCCGGUGAAGUUAACCAAUCCAUUGACAUCACUUCUAUAUAUUUCCGAAGAUAAAUAUCACCUGGAAUAUCUUAAACACACCAUUCACGUCAAAGAAGUUAUCCUAG